GUCAGAAAAGUACACGCAAUGGAAUGUAGGUAAAAGCUGCCAUUACGUGACCCUAGCUUUGGCGGUGAAUGCUACAUGCAGUCUGGACAAGACUCUAAACUUGUAUGAAAGAAAACAGUAAGGACAUGGUGUCCUGCCAGGACCUCUCUGUCCCACUCAUUUAGAUGGCAAUCAAUUGAAAAAGGCUGCAGACUUUGUCGGUAACACCCACAAAGCAAAGAGCAGAAGCUCCUGGCAGGUAGAGUCAAGCAUAGCCACGCCCAGAUAAGUGUGGUCCUCGCUCCUCAUCAAGGACACGUCUCUGCAGCAGAUGGAGAUCAUUACAGAAAACCACAACCCAUCAAACUGCAGCACAAAUUCUUAGGAAUAACCCUUCAUCUCCUCGAAGACCCUCUCGGCCACGCAUUCCUUUGCACUGUCUUAGUUACCAGCUGCCAUGGAGGAUAUCCUGAAGGGAAGAGUUCAAGAUCAAAAGAGAUGUCUCUGUUCAUGAACUAACAAAUACAUUGUUCUCCUUCCUCGUUUUAUGAACGGUCUGCAAGAUGACUCAGUGGACAAAGGCACUUGCUACCAAGGCUGAUGACCUGAGUUCAAUCCCUGGAACGAACAUGGGGAAAAGAGAGAACAACUCUCCUAUGUUAUCCUCUGACUUCCAUAUGUGCACGUGGUAUAGGUGCACACAACCCUUCC